CAGGCAGCUACCUCUGCCAGGGCCUCACCAGGCACCCAGCGUGGGAAAGGCUGAUUCAGCCUGGGCACAGAUGCCGGGUGCUGUUGGUCUCAGCCCUCUAAGGGAAGCAGGAAGGGAGGCAGCCGAGCAGACUUACUGAAGGAUGAGCUGAUCUUUGUUCAAAUCCUGGCUUUACCACUUAAUAGCUGCACACUUCCUGCAGUUCCUCCCACUUAUCUGAGUCUCAGAUGCUCCCCGUUAAGAUGGGUCCAAUAGCUACCACUGCAUUUACCUCGAAGGAGUAAAUGAGGAUUAACUAAGCGCCUGAUGUGAAGAACUGUGCCUGCAGCCUUUGAAGGAAGCCAGGCUUUCGAGGAUGUGUGAGGCCUGGGGAAUUCAUUUGUUUCAAAUAACCAUCAAUGAGAUUCCAGAUUUCCUGCCCAGAGUUAAAAUCGG
rnacentral:lncRNA from 10 species